rnacentral:rRNA from 1 species
UACAGAGGGUGCAAACGUUGCUCGGAAUCAUUGGGCGUAAAGCGCACGUAGGCGGUCUGAUAAGUCGGAUGUGAAAGCCCUCGGCUCAACCGAGGAAGUGCAUUCGAAACUGCCAGACUUGAAUAUGGAAGAGGGUCGCGGAAUUCCCGGUGUAGCGGUGAAAUGCGCAGAUAUCGGGAGGAACACCGGUGGCGAAGGCGGCCUCCUGGGCCACGACUGACGCUGAGGAGCGAAAGCUGGGGGAGCGAACAGGAUUAGAUACCCCGGUAGU